rnacentral:lncRNA from 10 species
UCUAAGUUUACCCUUAGAACAGUUUUUCUGGGCUAUGCUUCUUCAAGAAAAGAAUGAAAGAGUGGUUUCUAGAUUGAAAGAGUCCACUGAGAGCAAACUACAAGGAAAAAGAAAGGAUCCUGCAUCCAGGAGACAUCAAAUGCCAAGGAGAUCUGAAACCAGAUCCUGUGACAUAUCUUAACUUCAUUAGCUUGCUUAUUUCAUCUUAUCUUUUCCUAAAUUCAUGAACAAGUUUUAUAUUCACAUCUGUAAUUAUUAAAGUUCAAGGAAAUUUUAGGAGAAAAAACAUAUAAAUGUUAAGAGAUAUCUUAUUUCAAAACUCCCA